rnacentral:rRNA from 1 species
CAGCCGCCGCGGUAAUACGAAGGGUGCAAGCGUUAAUCGGAAUUACUGGGCGUAAAGCGUGCGUAGGCGGUGAGUUAAGUCUGCUGUGAAAUCCCCGGGCUCAACCUGGGAAUGGCAGUGGAUACUGGCUCGCUAGAGUGUGUCAGAGGAUGGUGGAAUUCCCGGUGUAGCGGUGAAAUGCGUAGAGAUCGGGAGGAACAUCAGUGGCGAAGGCGGCCAUCUGGGACAACACUGACGCUGAGGUACGAAAGCAUGGGGAGCAAACAGGAUUAGAUACCCGCGUAGUCCCUGUCUCUUAUAC